GGUAUUUUGACCGUGCGAAGGUAGCGCAAUCACUUGUCUCUUAAAUGGGGACCUGUAUGAAUGGCAUAACGAGGGCUUGACUGUCUCCUCUUUCAAGUCAAUGAAAUUGAUCUCCCCGUGCAGAAGCGGGGAUAUACACAUAAGACGAGAAGACCCUAUGGAGCUUUAGACACUAAAGUAGAUCAGCAUUAAUACCCUAAAUACAGGACACGAAUAAACUGAACCCUACCCUAAUGUCUUAGGUUGGGGCGACCGCGGAGUAAUAAAAAACCCCCGCAAGGACCGAAUGUACUACAUUCACAACCAAGAGUGACAGCUCUAAUUAACAGAUACUUCUGACCAAUAAGAUCCGGCAACGCCGAUCAAUGGACCAAGUUACCCUAGGGAUAACAGCGCAAUCUCCUCUUAGAGCCCGUAUCAACGAGGGGGUUUACGACCUCGAUGUUGGAUCAGGACAUCCUAAUGGUGCAGCCGCUAUUAAGGGUUCGUUUGUUCAACGAUUAAAGUCCUACGUGAUCUGAGUUC
rnacentral:rRNA from 1 species